CUCCUUCUCCUUUACAUACCGUUGAUGCUAUGUCAUCUCGGUAGGCGUGUGCUACUCGGUGUGAAUGGAUAUUCCCCAAGCAUGUGAUUGUAAUUGAUUAUCUGUUUGAUUUUAUUCUUGAUUGUAUGUUUUGACUUGCUUCGGCUUGUCUAUCACCACAGGAUGCAUUCACAAGCAUGAUUGCACAACACUUGCACAUGCCAUGAUAUUC
rnacentral:lncRNA from 1 species